UACAGAGGUCCCAAGCGUUGUUCGGAUUCACUGGGCGUAAAGGGUGCGUAGGUGGCGGGGUAAGUUUGAUGUGAAAUCUCCGGGCUUAACCCGGAAAUGGCAUUGAAUACUAUUCUGCUGGAGGGUUGGAGGGGGGACUGGAAUUCUCGGUGUAGCAGUGAAAUGCGUAGAUAUCGAGAGGAACACCGGUGGCGAAGGCGAGUCCCUGGACAACACCUGACACUGAGGCACGAAAGCUAGGGGAGCAAACAGG
rnacentral:rRNA from 1 species